rnacentral:rRNA from 1 species
UACGUAGGGGGCAAGCGUUGUCCGGAAUCAUUGGGCGUAAAGAGCGUGUAGGCGGCUCGGUAAGUCCGCUGUAAAAGUCCAGGGCUCAACCCUGGAAAGCCGGUGGAAACUGUCGAGCUAGAGUCCGGAAGAGGCGAGUGGAACUCCUGGUGUAGCGGUGAAAUGCGCAGAUAUCAGGAGGAACACCGGUGGCGAAGGCGGGUCGCUGGGACGGUACUGACGCUGAGACGCGAAAGCGUGGGGAGCAAACAGG